UGUCAAGUUGAAACAGCAAUUGGUGUAUUUGUGUGAGUGCAAUACCAUCUCCACCCAGCUGGCACGUGGCCUACAGAAAAUCAAGCACACCCGUCUUUCACUCAGGCCUUCAAGAGCUAUAAGUCUACUCAGCACACCUGUGUUGAAAGAACCUCUACAAACAAAGACCUCAUCUUCAAGCUCCUGCAGAAACACCACUGGUUUUCAACCUGCUUGGGUGUCAUGUAUUGAAAAGUACAAGGAUUUAAAGAAAAAAAA